UGGGGAAUCUUGCUCAAUGGGCGCAAGCCUGAAGCAGCAACGCCGCGUGAGGGAUGAAGGCCUUCGGGUUGUAAACCUCUUUCAGCAGGGACGAAAAUGACGGUACCUGCAGAAGAAGCCCCGGCCAACUACGUGCCAGCAGCCGCGGUAAUACGUAGGGGGCGAGCGUUGUCCGGAUUUAUUGGGCGUAAGGAGCUCGUAGGCGGUUUGGUAAGUCGGGUGUGAAAGUCCGAGGCUCAACCUCGGGAAGCCACCCGAUACUGCUAUGACUGGAGUCCGGUAGAGGAGUGUGGAAUUCCUGGUGUAGCGGUGAAAUGCGCAGAUAUCAGGAGGAACACCAAUGGCGAAGGCAGCACUCUGGGCCGGUACUGACGCUGAGGAGCGAAAGCGUGGGUAGCAAACAGGAUUAGAUACCCCCGUAGUCCCUGAGCGGGCUGGCAAGGCG
rnacentral:rRNA from 1 species